UACGGAGGGUGCAAGCGUUGCUCGGAAUUAUUGGGCGUAAAGGGUAGGUAGGUGGUCUUAUUUGUCUGAGGUGAAAUCCUUGAGCUUAACUCAAGAAGUGCCUCAGAAACGGUAAGACUAGAGUCCUGGAGAGGGUCGUGGAAUUCCCGGUGUAGCGGUGAAAUGCGUAGAUAUCAGGAGGAACACCGAUGGCGAAGGCAGGUCUCUGGGCCACUACUGACGCUGAGAAGCGAAAGCAUGGGGAGCGAACAGG
rnacentral:rRNA from 1 species